rnacentral:tRNA from 1 species
GCCCGGGUCGCUUAGCGGAAUAGCGAUGGCCUCGAGAGCCAUUGACCCACACGGGUCGCGUGGGUUCAAAUCCCACCCCGGGCG